AAGAUACUCAAUUUCGCUAAGCAAUUGCUCAUCGGACAAGUCAGGAAGGUAUGACAAUGUCUCGUAUUUCUUCAUGUUGAUUGGUGGCCACACCUGCAUGCAUCUAACGCGUCCACCAUUGCUAGCAAGGGAGGUAAUGUCAACGUUGUUGUUCUUCUUGGUAACGGGAAAAGAAGCGGCGGAUUUGAGUCCGGUGAAGGGUGCGACCAUGCUAGCUUGAGCAACAUUGCUACGGGUAGCAGCGGCUGCCGAUGA
rnacentral:misc_RNA from 1 species